rnacentral:rRNA from 1 species
CCUACGUGAGUCUGCAGUGAGGAAUAUUGGUCAAUGGUCGGGAGACUGAACCAGCCAAGCCGCGUGAGGGAGGAAGGUACAGAGUAUCGUAAACCUCUUUUGUCAGGGAACAAAGGCGGGGACGUGUCCCCGGAUGAGUGUACCUGAAGAAAAAGCAUCGGCUAACUCCGUGCAAGCAGCCGCGGUAAUACGGAGGAUGCGAGCGUUAUCCGUUUUUAUUGGGUUUAAAGGGUGCGCAGGCGGUCUGUUGAGUCAGCGUUAAAAUCCCGGGGCCAAACCCCGGCCCGCCGUUGAAACUGGCAGUCUCGAGUUGGCGAGAAGUAUGCGGAAUGCGCGGUGGAGCGGUGAAAUGCAUAGAUAUCGCGCAGAACUCCGAUUGCGAAGGCAGCAUGCCGGCUCCACACUGACGCUGAGGCACGAAAGCGUGGGUAUCGAACAGGAUUAGAUACCCGGGUAGUC